CUCGCUCACUUCACUGCGCUGUUUAUUCUGCAUGAGAUUGCAUCCACUGAAAAUUCAAAUGUUGCGAAAACUGUUUCAGAUUGAAAUCACUGAAUUAGGUUUUUAAAGGCACCCUUUUGCCAUCAGAGACCUUUGCAGCUACAAUGGAGUGAUUGGAAUGAAAUACAAAGAACGUCCAGAAUCUCUCAGGAUUCUAUAGAACACACGGUUACUCUCAGAGAGCCUGAGAGGAAAAGGGCUGACCUGGUUGAGGAAGACAGCAGUGAAGCUGAUUCCAAACUUGGUGGGAAUGAUG